rnacentral:miRNA from 1 species
ACACAGAGCCAAGAAAGAGAGAGAGAGAGAGAGAGAGGGGGAACGGGAACAAGACUUGUGGAUAGGUAACAACAAUUACGCUUCAAUGCAUCUAUAAGAUAUUGUAUCUGUACAGAAUGCAUGUGCUGCCUGUGGGCUGUAUCUCUCUCUCCCUCUCUCUCUCUCUCUCUCGCUCUGUGCCGCUUUUGUGU